AUGUUGUGUCUUCUAGUUGUACUCUUUUUUUCAAAGAAGCAAGUUUACUGCCAGGAUGUCAUCCAGGAGCCGACGAUCAGCUGGAGUUUUGAGUCCAAGUCUGCAGAGUUGAAAUGCAGCCACAAGAAAGAUAUAACUUAUAAUCAAAUGUACUGGUACAGACAGCGUCCAGGGGAGACCAUGACUCUGAUUGUUUACACGGCGUUUGGUGGCCAGCCUGACUACGGAGAGAGCCCUCAAAGCAAAUACUCAGCAGUCAAAGACAGCAUAGAGACCGGAGCUCUGACUGUGAACGACCUGCAGCCUGAUGACGGUGGCGUGUAUUUCUGUGCUGUCAGCAAACACAACGGUGGAGACUUCGAUCCUGCUUAUUUUGGCAGAGGCACCAAACUCACAGUUUUGGAAGCUGGAAAAAACAUCAAUUUUCCAACAGUGAAAAUUAUUCAACCUUCAGCAAAUGAGUGCAGAGACCAAAACAAACCAAAGGGGAAAAGGAGGAAGACGCUGGUCUGUGUGGCCUCUGAUUUCUACCCAGAUCAUGUCAGCGUGUUCUGGCAGCUCAAUAACCAGAGCAUCACUGAUGGCGUGGCCACUGACCCCGCCGCCAAGAGGGAUGCAGACACAGGAAAUUACACCAUCACCAGCCGGCUGAGAGUCCUUGCAAAGCACUGGUUCGAACCCCAGAAUGAAUUCAGGUGCAUCGUCAAAUUCUUUGAUGGAAAGGAACACAUCGAAGAAUCAGCCAGAGUUUCAUCAAAUGAAAAAGAUAAAGGCAUGACACGAGAAAACUACCUGAAGAUCACCCAGAACGCCAAACUCUCCUACGGCGUCCUGAUCGUCAAGAGCUGCCUCUACGGAGCCUUCGUCUGCUUUCUGGUGUGGAAGCUGCAGAGCUCACCAAGAAAACGCAACAAGUGAGAGCUGAACUGAAGCCCGAACCAGCCAAUAGGCUCCAGGAAAAGCUUUUUUAGCUUCUGUAAAUAAGAUAUAGCUGGAAAAAAAGUGUGUAUGUCUGUUGGUUUCCAUUUAAACCUUCAGAAUCUUAAAAACUUGUAUUUUUUCUUUUAAAGUCUGAAAGCUCAAAUUUUUACGGUCUUUGUUUCUGUUCAAACCUUUUCUCUCUUGAUCCUUUCACUUUCUUCUCAAUAAAGACAUGUA